rnacentral:misc_RNA from 1 species
AUCCUGAUGAUGCGAUUAUCAAAGUUACGACUGCUGCGAUAUGCGGCUCAGACUUGCACAUGUACCAAGGCCGCACUGCCGCGGAAGCGGGUCUAGUUUUUGGACACGAGAACAUGGGUGUUGUCAUCGAGACGGGACCGGGUGUGACACUGCUGGAGAAGGGCGAUAGGAUCGUGCUGCCGUUCAAUGUGGCGGAUGGGCGGUGUCGGAACUGCGAAGAGGGG